rnacentral:rRNA from 1 species
AUCGAACGCUGGCGGCGUGCUUUACGCAUGCAAGUCGAACGGUAACAGGCCGCAAGGUGCUGACGAGUGGCGAACGGGUGAGUAAUGCAUCGGAACGUGCCCAGUCGUGGGGGAUAACGCAGCGAAAGCUGUGCUAAUACCGCAUACGAUCUAUGGAUGAAAGCGGGGGACCGUAAGGCCUCGCGCGAUUGGAGCGGCCGAUGUCAGAUUAGCUAGUUGGUGGGGGAAAGGCCCACCAAGGCGACGAUCUGUAGCUGGUCUGGGAGUACGACCAGCCCAACUGGGACGGAGACACGGCCCAGACGCCUACGGGAGGCAGCAGUGGGGAAUUUUGGACUAUGGGCGAAAGCCUGAUCCAGCAAUGCCGCGUGCAGGAAGAAGGCCUUCGGGUUGUAAACUGCUUUUGUACGGAACGAAACGGUCUGGGUUAAUACCCUGGGCUAAUGACGGUACCGUAAGAAUAAGCACCGGCUAACUACGUGCCAGCCGCCGCGGUAA